CUUAAUAGUUUUCUGCAGUUUAGUACUAACAUGCCUGUGUGGUGAACUAACUACCUUGGGAAGCAACAAAUAUGGUUCGUCAGUAGAGAUGUUUCCACUGGUGCCUCUUCUUCCAAUGGUACUAUAAUUCCUAUUCCUAUCCCUUUAUUCCCUUUUUUGGUCUAUCUACAUUUAAGGAAAUUCAUACGCUCCAUGGACAGAGCAAAAAGUGGAGUGUUGGUCAAAGCAAGCCGCCCUAUUCUAUUACCAGACAAAAUGGAGAGAAGCUCAUCCGCUAGAAAUGCUUUAUUUCAUUUCGUUCCCGUUCUUCAUUUCCUUAUUAUCGAAUCCAUGGGGGACUUGUCAUAUUUAGAAUCUUUCUGCGGUCUGCUCUGUUUACAAUUCUUUCAUACUCUCUUCUCUUUACCACGCGAUAGGUCAGCGAAGCAUGAGCGGGCGCUCCGAAGUAAAGGCCAAACACUUCGGCCUAAGGGGAAUGAGCAACAAAAUGACAAGAUGAGGUGCCCCGGGCACCCCCAUAUAGAAAGAAGGGUUGUAGGUUUUGGGCCUGUAGAUCCCCCCCCUCGUCAAGUGGUGCUUGUUUGGGGGGGGGGGGUGCCACCAGAAAGCGGGCUUGAAGCUCUCGCCUUACCAACGAGCCGACUGCUGAUGGUUGUUGGUCACGACUACUACAAAAAAGUGAAGAUGAAUCUUUCUAUUUCACAUGGAGGAGUGUGCAUCUUUAUGUUGGGUGUUCUUCUGUCGUGCGACCCGAUGGCUUAUGUGCGACCUGUGGCCCACGCCUCCUAUUCUAUUUGUUCAGGGUGGGCGGCGUGA
rnacentral:rRNA from 1 species